AUAUCAAAGAAGGAAAAAAAAAGGGGAACAGAGAAGAAGCAAAGGGAAACGAGAAACUGAGGAAAAGGAGAAGAGGGAUCAGGGAAGCACCACGAAGAACAGAAAGACGUGCGCGAUCGAGGGAGAAGGUAGCGUUGCCACCGUGCCUCAUCAUCGUCGCUGAAGGAAGCAAGCUGCUCAACUCUUAAUUAAGCCAGUAUCCUCCUCUUUGUUCUGAUUCCAAUUUUCCCAUUUUUGAAACCGUCGAGUGUUGAAGCUGGUGCUGCCAUGGGAUGGUUGAAGUUGUUACUGAUUCUGAAUUUGCUAUCUGGUGCUGCGAAGGCUAAUGUUGUUGCUGUUCCGGUUGUGGUUGCGUGAGAGUUACCGCUGCUGCCUUGAAACUAAAAGAGAAGAGAGUUGUUACGUUAAAGUAUGCGAUUGCGACAUCGAGCGACAGGUUUGAAGACGCAAUUUGAAGCUGCGAGCGAUCAGUAGGCUUUCUUUAUGGUUU